rnacentral:miRNA from 1 species
CAUGGUGGCACAUCCAGAUACAUA